rnacentral:lncRNA from 1 species
GAGUGAAAUGAAACUGUGGAUCUCAUGAUGGCCUGAUGUGGUUUUCCUCAGUACGAGGAGCAGGAAGGCAGGCAGUGUGACUCACGGAGCUCUGUGAUGUGCCUGUAGCCUGAGCACAAGCUCACUGCAAACAUCUGUCCCUGUGGACUCCCUGAUGUUCUGCGAUCUUCCCAUCAGGAGAACAAGCCGUGGAAAAGAUGAGGUCUUCAUCUUUGUGUAGGUGCAUGGAGGUGAUAAAUGAGUUUCACCUGGAGGAUGAACACAGCGCUGAAGCUGAACUCUUCAGUUUAAACAUCAGUUUAAACACCAACGUGGCCUUCAGCUGGCCAUUUCCCGCUGAGGAUGGCUUUACUCGGAGGCAUUUUGAUCAUUACUUGUCAGAUAAGACCUUGAGUGAACUACAAACUACAAUCACUGGCACUAGAAGACUUUGCAGCCAGUUUUGUCUUGACUCAAUCAUGUUAUCUUCAGUACUGAGUAGGUAUCUGACAAAUAAGUGAAAGCAAGAAAAAGAUCUUGUUCAUUUAGUAAAGACCUAUGUAAAUAAUACCAUACAUUAGUGUGGGGAAAAAUGCCUUUUUUCGCUCUGGAUUUACCAUAAUCUGGCAUAAAAAUAAUAUGCAAUAUAAAUGUGUUUAUACCUUAGAGUAUCUUGUUAAACCAUUUAAAGUUAACUAAUGUUUAGCUGUUCUGAAACUUUAAUUAGCAUUUAACAAGAAAGCAACAGUAUAGCCAAUUAGACAUCUAAGCAAUAACACACACAUACACUUCUAUUUUCUAGCAAUUAAUUGAUAACUAGUUUACCGUGGGCUAAUAAUUAAAUGAGAAAACAUUCUGAGCAAAUUGAAAGCACUGAUGCAAAUGAGUUCUGCAUUUAUUCUUUUCAAAUUCACUGACCACAUUAUCUAAUCUGUCGCGAACAGAGAAAUCCUGAAUUAUGCUAAAUAUAUACUCAAGCUGACUAACCAACCCUUAAAGCAACAUUUGUCACUUUUUGGAAGCUUUAAUUGCUCUGCUGAAGGAAAGUCCUAAUGCAGUGCCAAGGCUGGCAGGUUAAAUGUGGUGCCGACCACUGGUAUGAGGGCAGCUGAUGCUCUGUGCCCCGUGGAUCAGUUGCCUGGCUGGUGGAGCGACUCCUCUCUGCUGUUUUUGCUGGAGACAGCAACCCCAGGCACAAGCAGAGAAUUGUGUGUGUGUCCUUCCCAAGAAGAAAAAAAAUCUCAACCAAGUCUGAAGACAAAGGGGUCACCGUUUCAGCUACACGAGUGCUGGCAGCAGACAACUUCUGUGUUCUGCCAACUGAAAAAUAAAUGAAAUGUUUGACAAAGAAGAAUAUGAGUU